AAAAAGUUAGUUUAAUUUAAAACAUAGUUUUGUCAAAACUAAAAUAUUAGAUAUUAAUACUUUUUA
rnacentral:tRNA from 1 species